UACGUAGGGGGCGAGCGUUGUCCGAAGUUACUGGGCGUAAAGAGCGCGUAGGCGGGUCUUUAAGUGAGGGGUGAAAGGUUCAGGGCUCAACCCGGACACUGCCUUUCAUACUGGGGACCUUGAGUGCGGGAGGGGCGAGUGGAAUGGUCGGUGUAGCGGUGAAAUGCGUAGAUAUCGAUCGGAACACCCAUGGCGAAGGCAGCUCGCUGGCCUGCAACUGACGCUGAGGCGUGAAAGCGUGGGGAGCAAACAGG
rnacentral:rRNA from 1 species